ensembl:misc_RNA Metazoa_SRP Metazoan signal recognition particle RNA
GCCAGGUGUGGUGGCGCACACCUGUAAUCCCAGCUCCUGGGGAGGCAGAGGUGGGAGGAUUGCUUGAACCCGGGAGGCAGAGGUUGUAGUGAGCUGAGAUGGCACCACUGCACUCCAGCCUGGGUGGCACAGCAAGACUCCAUCUCAU